UCACCAAAUAAUAAUGAAGAUCAUUUGAAAACAUCAAGUGGGGCUCCUUCGUCAACACCUACAAUUGGAAAAUCAAUUCCAUCGUUGGAACCACAACAAGAAGACAUGGCAUCUCCUCAAACAGGAUCUCCUCUGCCAACACCGACAAAUAAUGAAAAACGUGUGAAACGAAAGGGUCAAACGACAACGCAACAUGUUGGAUCACCAAAUUCACCUUUGGAAGGUCAUUCUGCAAACGCACCAAAUGAAAAUGGUUCGUCGUUCCAACCACAUUCUCCAUCAUCGUCACCUGGUCAAGAAGAAAGUGUGGAGAGUCCUUCAGGUUCCGCUAGGGAAACACCUACAAACGAAGCAAGUUUCAUUGGAAGAUCACCAAAUAAUAAUGAAGAUCAUUUGAAAACAUCAAGUGGGGCUCCUUCGUCAACACCUACAAUUGGAAAAUCAAUUCCAUCGUUGGAACCACAACAAGAAGACAUGGCAUCUCCUCAACCAGUUUCUUCUCAACGAACACCGACAAAUAAUGAAAAUCGUGUGAAACGAAGGGGUGAAACAAUAACUCAACAUGUUGGAUCACCAAAUUCACCUUUGGAAGGUCAUUCUCCAAACGCACCCAAUGAAAAUGGUUCGUCGUUCCUACCACAUUCUCCAUCAUCGUCACCUGGUCAAGAAGAAAGUGUGGAGAGUCCUUCAGGUUCCGCUAGGGAAACACCUACAAACGAAGCAAGUUUCAUUGGAAGAUCACCAAAUAAUGAAGAUCAUUUGAAAACAUCAAGUGGGGCUCCUUCGUCAACACCUACAAUUGGAAAAUCAAUUCCAUCGUUGGAACCACAACAAGAAGACAUGGCAUCUCCUCAACCAGUUUCUUCUCGACUAACACCGACAAAUAAUGAAAAUCGUGUGAAACGAAAGGGUCAAACAACAACUCAACAUGUUGGAUCACCAAAGACACCUUCGGAAGGUCAUUCUCCAAACGCACCCAAUGAAAAUGUUUCGUCGUUCCUACCACAUUCUCCAUCAUCGUCACCUGGUCAAGAAGAAAGUGUGGAGAGUCCUUUAGGUUCCGCUAGGGAAACACCUACAAACGAAGCAAGUUUCAUUGGAAGAUCACCAAAUAAUGAAGAUCAUUUGAAAAUAUCAAGUGGGGCUCCUUCUUCAACACCUACAAUUGGAAAAUCAAUUCCAUCGUUGGAACCACAACAAGAAGACAUGGCAUCUCCUCAACCAGUUUCUUCUCGACUAACACCGACAAAUAAUGAAAAUCGUGUGAAACGAAAGGGUGAAACAACAACUCAACAUGUUGGAUCACCAAAGACACCUUCGGAAGGUCAUUCUCCAAACGCAGCCAAUGAAAAUGGAUCGUCGUUCCUACCACAUUCUCCAUCAUCGUCACCUGGUCAAGAAGAAAGUGUGGAGAGUCCUUUAGGUUCCGCUAGGGAAACACCUACAAACGAAGCAAGUUUCAUUGGAAGAUCACCAAAUAAUGAAGAUCAUUUGAAAACAUCAAGUGGGGCUCCUUCUUCAACACCUACAAUUGGAAAAUCAAUUCCAUCGUUGGAACCACAACAAGAAGACAUGGCAUCUCCACAAACAGGAUCUCCUCGACUAACACCGACAGAUAAUAAAAAUCAUGUGAAACGAAAGGGUCAAACAACAACGCAACAUGUUAGAUCACCAAAUUCACCUUUGGAAGGUCAUUCUCCAAACGCACCCAAUGAAAAUGGUUCGUCGUUCCUACCACAUUCUCCAUCAUCGUCACCUGGUCAAGAAGAAAGUGUGGAGAGUCCUUCAGGUUCCGCUAGGGAAACACCUACAAACGAAGCAAGUUUCAUUGGAAGAUCACCAAAUAAUGAAGUACAUUUGAAAACAUCAAGUGGGGUUCCUUCGUCAACACCUACAAUUGGAAAAUCAAUUCCAUCGUUGGAACCACAACAAGAAGACAUGGCAUCUCCUCAACCAGUUUCUUCUCGACUAACACCGACAAAUAAUGAAAAUCGUGUGAAACGAAAGGGUGAAACGACAACGCAACAUGUUGGAUCACCAAAUUCACCUUUGGAAGGUCAUUCUCCAAACGCACCCAAUGAAAAUGGUUCGUCGUUCCAACCACAUUCUCCAUCAUCGUCACCUGGUCAAGAAGAAAGUGUGGAGAGUCCUUCAGGUUCCGCUAGGGAAACACCUACAAACGAAGCAAGUUUCAUUGGAAGAUCACCAAAUAAUAAUGAAGAUCAUUUGAAAACAUCAAGUGGGGCUCCUUCGUCAACACCUACAAUUGGUAAAUCAAUUCCAUCGUUGGAACCACAACAAGAAGACAUGGCAUCUCCACAAACAGGAUCUCCUCGACGAACACCGACAGAUAAUAAAAAUCAUGUGAAACGAAAGGGUCAAACAACAACGCAACAUGUUAGAUCACCAAAUUCACCUUUGGAAGGUCAUUCUCCAAACGCACCCAAUGAAAAUGGUUCGUCGUUCCUACCACAUUCUCCAUCAUCGUCACCUGGUCAAGAAGAAAGUGUGGAGAGUCCUUCAGGUUCCGCUAGGGAAACACCUACAAACGAAGCAAGUUUCAUUGGAAGAUCACCAAAUAAUGAAGAUCAUUUGAAAACAUCAAGUGGGGCUCCUUCGUCAACACCUACAAUUGGAAAAUCAAUUCCAUCGUUGGAACCACAACAAGAAGACAUGGCAUCUCCUCAACCAGUUUCUUCUCGACUAACCCCGACAAAUAAUGAAAAUCGUGUGAAACGAAAGGGUGAAACAACAACUCAACAUGUUGGAUCACCAAAGACACCUUUGGAAGGUCAUUCUCCAAACGCACCCAAUGAAAAUGGAUCGUCGUUCCUACCACAUUCUCCAUCAUCGUCACCUGGUCAAGAAGAAAGUGUGGAGAGUCCUUCAGGUUCCGCUAGGGAAACACCUACAAACGAAGCAAGUUUCAUUGGAAGAUCACCAAAUAAUAAUGAAGAUCAUUUGAAAAUAUCAAGUGAGGCUCCUUCGUCAACACCUACAAUUGGUAAAUCAAUUCCAUCGUUGGAACCACAACAAGAAGACAUGGCAUCUCCACAAACAGGAUCUCCUCGACUAACACCGACAGAUAAUGAAAAUCAUGUGAAACGAAAGGGUCAAACAACAACGCAACAUGUUGGAUCACCAAAGACACCUUUGGAAGGUCAUUCUCCAAACGCACCCAAUGAAAAUGGAUUGUCGUUCCUACCACAUUCUCCAUCAUCGUCACCUGGUCAAGAAGAAAGUGUGGAGAGUCCUUCAGGUUCCGCUAGGGAAACACCAACAAACGAAGCAAGUUUCAUUGGAAGAUCACCAAAUAAUGAAGAUCAUUUGAAAACAUCAAGUGGGGCUCCUUCGUCAACACCUACAAUUGGAAAAUCAAUUCCAUCGUUGGAACCACAACAAGAAGACAUGGCAUCUCCUCAACCAGUUUCUUCUCGACUAACACCGACAAAUAAUGAAAAUCGUGUGAAACGAAAGGGUGAAACAACAACUCAACAUGUUGGAUCACCAAAUUCACCUUUGGAAGGUCAUUCUCCAAACGCACCCAAUGAAAAUGGUUCGUCGUUCCAACCACAUUCUCCAUCAUCGUCACCUGGUCAAGAAGAAAGUGUGGAGAGUCCUUUAGGUUCCGCUAGGGAAACACCUACAAACGAAGCAAGUUUCAUUGGAAGAUCACCAAAUAAUGAAGAUCAUUUGAAAACAUCAAGUGGGGCUCCUUCGUCAACACCUACAAUUGGUAAAUCAAUUCCAUCGUUAGAACCACAACAAGAAGACAUGGCAUCUCCACAAACAGGAUCUCCUCGACUAACACCGACAGAUAAUAAAAAUCAUGUGAAACGAAAGGGUCAAACAACAACGCAACAUGUUAGAUCACCAAAUUCACCUUUGGAAGGUCAUUCUCCAAACGCACCCAAUGAAAAUGGUUCGUCGUUCCUACCACAUUCACCAUCAUCGUCACCUGGUCAAGAAGAAAGUGUGGAGAGUCCUUCAGGUUCCGCUAGGGAAACACCUACAAACGAAGCAAGUUUCAUUGGAAGAUCACCAAAUAAUAAUGAAGAUCAUUUGAAAACAUCAAGUGAGGCUCCUUCGUCAACACCUACAAUUGGUAAAUCAAUUCCAUCGUUGGAACCACAACAAGAAGACAUGGCAUCUCCACAAACAGGAUCUCCUCGACUAACACCGACAGAUAAUAAAAAUCAUGUGAAACGAAAGGGUCAAACAACAACGCAACAUGUUAGAUCACCAAAUUCACCUUUGGAAGGUCAUUCUCCAAACGCACCCAAUGAAAAUGGUUCGUCGUUCCUACCACAUUCUCCACCAUCGUCACCUGAUCAUGAAGAAAUUGUGGAGAGUCCUUCAGGUUCUGCUAGGGAAACACCUACAAACGAAGCAAGUUUCAUUAGAAGAUCACCAAAUAAUGAAGAUCAUUUGAAAACAUCAAGUGGGGCUCCUUCGUCAACACCUACAAUUGGUAAAUCAAUUCCAUCGUUGGAACCAAAACAAGAAGACAUGGCAUCUCCUCAAACAGGAUCUCCUCUGCCAACACCGACAAAUAAAGAAAAACGUGUGAAACGAAAGGGUCAAACGACAACGCAACAUGUUGGAUCACGAAAUUCACCUUUGGAAGGUGAUUCUCCAAACGCACCCAAUGAAAAUGGUUCGUCGUUUCAACCACAUUCUCCAUCAUCGUCACCUGACCAUGAAGAAAGUGUGGAGAGUCCUUCAGGUUUUGGUAGGGAAACACCUACAAACGAAGCAAGUUUCAUUGGAAGAUCACCAAAUAAUGAAGUUCAUUUGAAAACAUCAAGUGGGGCUCCUUCGUCAACACCUACAAUUGGACAAUCAAUUCCAUCGUUGGAACCACAACAAGAAGAUAUGGCAUCUCCACAACCAGUUUCUUCUCGACUAACACCGACAAAUAAUGAAAAUCGUGUGAAACGAAAGGGUCAAAUAACAACUCAACAUGUUGGAUCACCAAAGACACCUUUGAAAGGUCAUUCUCCAAACGCACCCAAUGAAAAUGGUUCGUCGUUCCAACCACAUUCUCCAUCAUCGUCACCUGACCACGAAGAAAGUGUGGAAAGUCCUUCAGGUUUUGGUAGGGAAACAAGUACAAACGAAGCAAGUUUAAUUGGAAGAUCACCAAAUAAUGAAGAUCAUUUGAAAACAUCAAGUGGGGCUCCUUCGUCAACACCUACAAUUGGAAAAUCAAUUCCAUCAUUGGAACCCCAACAAGAAGACAUGACAUCUCCACAUAUCGGAUCUCCUCGACCAACACCGACAAGCAAUGAAAAUCGUGUGAAACGAAAGGGUCAAACAACAACGCAACAUGUUGGAUCACCAAAGACAUCUUUCGAAGGUCAUUCUCCAAAUGCACCCAGUGAAAAUGGUAAAUCCUUCCAACCAAAGACACCUUUGGAAGGACAUUCUCCAAAUGCACCCAAUGAAAAUGGUUCGUCGUUCCAACCACAUUCUCCUUCAUCGUCACCUGAUCACGAAGAAAGUGAGGAGAGUCCUUCAGGUUCUGCUAGUGGAACACCUACAAAUGAAGCAAGUUCCAUUGGAAGAUCUCCAAAUAAUGAAGAUCAUUUGAAAACAUCAAUUGAGGCUCCUUCGUCAAAACCUACAAUUGGUAAAUGGAUUCCAUCGUUGGAACCACAACAAGAAGACAUGACAUUUCCACAAACCGGAUCUCCUCGACUAACACCUACAAAUAAUGAAAAUCGUGUGAAACGAAAGGGUCAAACAACAACGCAACAUGUUGGAUCACCAAAGACACCUUUGGAAGGUCGUUCUCCAAAUGUACCCAAUGAAAAUGGUUCGUUGUUCCAACCACAUUCUCCAUCAUUGUCACCUGACCACGAAAAAAGUGUGGAAAGUCCUUCAGGUUUUGCUAGGGAAACCCCUACAAAUGAAGCAAGUUUUAUUGGAAGAUCACCAAAUAAUGAAGUAC
rnacentral:lncRNA from 1 species